rnacentral:rRNA from 1 species
AUUGAACGCUGGCGGCAUGCCUUACACAUGCAAGUCGAACGGUAACAGGUUAAGCUGACGAGUGGCGAACGGGUGAGUAAUGUAUCGGAACGUGCCCAGUCGUGGGGGAUAACUGCUCGAAAGAGCAGCUAAUACCGCAUACGACCUGAGGGUGAAAGCGGGGGAUCGCAAGACCUCGCGCGAUUGGAGCGGCCGAUAUCAGAUUAGGUAGUUGGUGAGGUAAAGGCUCACCAAGCCGACGAUCUGUAGCUGGUCUGAGAGGACGACCAGCCACACUGGGACUGAGACACGGCCCAGACUCCUACGGGAGGCAGCAGUGGGGAAUUUUGGACAAUGGGCGCAAGCCUGAUCCAGCCAUGCCGCGUGCGGGAAGAAGGCCUUCGGGUUGUAAACCGCUUUUGUCAGGGAAGAAAAGGUUCUGGCUAAUACCUGGGAGUCAUGACGGUACCUGAAGAAUAAGCACCGGCUAACUACGUG